rnacentral:rRNA from 1 species
CCUACGGGGGGCUGCAGUGAGGAAUAUUGGUCAAUGGCCGGAAGGCUGAACCAGCCAAGCCGCGUGCGGGAGGAAGGCGCAGAGCGUCGCAGACCUCUUUUGCCGGGGGACAAAAGGCCGGACGGGUCCGGUUCUGAGGGUACCCGGAGAAAAAGCAUCGGCUAACUACGUGCCAGCAGCCGCGGUAAUACGUAGGUGGCAAGCGUUGUCCGGAUUUACUGGGUGUCAAGGGCGUGCAGCCGGGAAUACAAGUCAGAUGUGAAAUCCCGCGGAUCACCCGCGGAACUGCAUUUGAAACUGUUGUUAGUGAGUACAGGAGAGGUCAUCGGAAUUCCUGGUGUAGCGGUGAAAUGCGUAGAUAUAAGGAAGAACACCAGUGGCGAAGGCGGAUGACUGGACGGCAACUGACGGUGAGGCGCGAAAGCGUGGGGAGCAAACAGGAUUAGAUACCCCAGUAGUC